rnacentral:lncRNA from 1 species
AACAAGAUCCAAGAUAUGUCAUGUAAAUUACAAGAUUGCAAUGAUGAAUAUAACUGUAUUAUCGUGUACCUAAAUUGUACCAAUAAACUUAAUAGGAAAGAAAGAAAAAGAUGCAAACAAAAGGAUGCUGUCUGAUGAGUAAACCCACAGAGACAGAUGGAGCAACCUGCAAGCUGCAGUCUGAAGCAAGUCUAGCAAACAGGCUUGAUCAGCAGAACCACUGUCAGCCAUGGAAUUACAACUAA